AUCAUUGUCAAACAUAAUUUUGUACUAUUCUUACAUUAUCUUAUUCAACUCAGUUAAAGUUAUUUACAUUUAUUAUACUUACCUACUUACAAAAAUGGUAAAAAAUAUUAAUAUUUUAACUUUUUUUUUUAUAUUUUAUUUGAUUGAUGGUAUGAAUGCUGUCGGCUCCAGCGAUGAUAUAGACAAAGGAAAAGGAGUUGAUAUUACUCAGGAGCACAGUG